GGCGGCGUGCUUAACACAUGCAAGCUCGAACGGAGCUUAUUAAGAAAGCGGAGCUUGCUCCAAUGGAUUUUUAAGCUUAGUGGCGGACGGGUGAGCUAACGCGUGGGUAACCUGCCUUGCACAGGGGGACAACAGUUGGAAACGACUGCUAAUACCGCAUAAGCCGGUAGAACCGCAUGGUUUAUCCGGAAAAGAUUUAUCGGUGCAAGAUGGGCCCGCGUUGGAUUAGUUAGUUGGCGGGGUAACGGCCCACCAAGACUGCGAUCCAUAGCCGACCUGAGAGGGUGAUCGGCCACAUUGGGACUGAGACACGGCCCAAACUCCUACGGGAGGCAGCAGUGGGGAAUAUUGCGCAAUGGGGGAAACCCUGACGCAGCAACGCCGCGUGAGUGAAGAAGUAUUUCGGUAUGUAAAGCUCUAUCAGCAGGGAAGAAGAUGACGGUACCUGCAGAAGAAGUCCCGGCUAACUACGUGCCAGCAGCCGCGGUAAUACGUAGGGGACAAGCGUUAUCCGGAUUUACUGGGUGUAAAGGGAGCGUAGGCGGCCAGCCAAGUCAGAAGUGAAAUCCCACGGCUCAACUGUGGGCGUGCUUUUGAAACUGGAGGGCUUGAGUACUGGAGGGGCAAGCGGAAUUCCUGGUGUAGCGGUGAAAUGCAUAGAUAUCAGGAAGAACACCGGAGGCGAAGGCGGCUUGCUGGACAGAGACUGACGCUGAGGCUCGAAGGCGUGGGGAGCAAACAGGAUUAGAUACCCUGGUAGUCCCCCGGUAAACGAUGAUGCUAGUAUUGGAUCAUAGGGUCUCGUGCCCAUUAACGC
rnacentral:rRNA from 1 species